CAGCCAGAAGGCUGUUCACAAAAUGGCCGCCACUCCUGAGUGUCGUCCCGUCCCGUCAUGGCCACCAUUCCAGAGCCUGCUCACAUCAAGCCUGGCAAGCUAGAGCUUGCUCACGCCAAGCCAGAGCCUGAGUCACGUCAAGUCACAGCUGAUCUCCCUGAGUCACGUCAAGUCACAGCUGAUCUCCCUGGGUCAAGUCACGUCACCGCUGAUCGUCCAGAGUCUCGUCACAUCACAGCUGAUCAUUCAGAGUCUCGUCACUUCACAGCUGAUCGUCCAGAGUCUCGUCACAUCACAGCUGAUCGUCUAGAGUCUCGUCAUGUCAUAGCUGUCAUCCUGAGCCACGCAGACUCGGUGUUCGCAAACGACACUGUUUCAACGUUCUCAAGCCUGCCAGCCGCUACUCACUCCAGUUCCCCAGGCACAGCACCGUCAGUCUUGGAGAUAGAUGAUGUACUCUCUGUCCUGACAGUUAUGGCUAUGGCCAUUCUCUGUGUUUGGGCUGCACACACCACCGUAGUUUCCCCAGAGGUUGCAGCUUCCACUGCAGAACCUCCCGAGGUGGUGGCGCCCACUCUAGUCUCUAAGUUUACCCCAGAUCCCUCUCCAGCCCUUGAAUCUGAUCCAGAGCCUGCUUCAGUACUCAAAUUCAUUCCCGAGCCUGCUCUAAUUCCAGAAUCCAUUUCCGAGCCCCUUCCAGUCCCAGAGCCUGCUCCAGUUCUUGAAUUUGUCCCAGAGCCGGUUCUAGUUCCAGAAUCCAUUUCUGAGUCUGCUCCAGAGUUCACCCCAGCUUAUGAGUCGGCUCCGGCCUAUGCGUCUGAUCCAGAGUCCGCUCUAAUCUCCGAAUCCAUUCCCGAGUCUGUUCCUCUUCCCCAAAUCAACUUCUGAGCUUACUCCAGUCCCUGAGUCCGCUCCAGCUUAGCCAGAGGUGGUAACUUUUGUUGCAGAACCUUUCAUAGUGGCGACAUCCGCUUUUGCUCCUCCUGAGACAGCAGUGGCACUCAUUCCCGAGCUCUUGGUGUUCCCUGGCGCCUCCAUUCCAAC
rnacentral:lncRNA from 1 species